rnacentral:tRNA from 1 species
GCCCCUGGGCCCCUGGGCCCCUGGGCCCCUGGGCUGAACUCCUAGAGCAGGUGCCGCAGGUUCGAAUCCUGCCGGGGGUA